CCCUGCCCACUGAAUUUAUUUUGAAGGGCCGCAGUAUUUUGACUGUGCAAAGGUAGCAUAAUCAUUAGUCUUUUAAUUGAAGGCUGGUAUGAAUGGUUGGAUGAGGUACAAGCUGUGUCAUAAAAAUUAAUAGUUGAAUUUACCUUUUUAGUCAAAAGGCUAAAAUGAAAUUAAAAGACGAGAAGACCCUAUAGAGCUUUAUAUAAUUUAUAUUUAAAUUAUUAAGAUUUUUUAAAUUUAAUUAUUAUUUUGUAUUUUGUUGGGGUGACAAUAAAAUUUAUAAAACUUUUAUUUUUAAUUUACAUUUAUUUAUGGUUACAUGAUCCAGUUUUAUUGAUUAUAAAUUUAAGUUACCUUAGGGAUAACAGCGUAAUUUUUUUUGAGAGUUCUUAUCGACAAAAAAGAUUGCGACCUCGAUGUUGGAUUAAGAGUAAUUUUGGGUGUAGAAGUUCAAAGUUUAAGUCUGUUCGACUUUUAAAUUCUUACAU
rnacentral:rRNA from 1 species